rnacentral:misc_RNA from 1 species
UUUCCGUAGGUGAACCUGCGGAAGGAUCAUUCAUAAUAAAGUGUUUUAUGGCACUUUUUAAAAAUCCAUAUCCACCUUGUGUGCAAUGUUAGAUCUCGUCAAUCUUGGCGAGAUUUUUAUACACCAACUCAUUCUUUAACUAAUUUGUCUGAAAAAUAUUAUGAAUACUUAAUUCAAAAUAUAACUUUCAACAACGGAUCUCUUGGUUCUG